rnacentral:rRNA from 1 species
UGGGGAAUUUUGGACAAUGGGCGAAAGCCUGAUCCAGCAAUGCCGCGUGUGUGAAGAAGGCCUUCGGGUUGUAAAGCACUUUUGUCCGGAAAGAAAUCCUUGGCUCUAAUACAGUCGGGGGGAUGACGGUACCGGAAGAAUAAGCACCGGCUAACUACGUGCCAGCAGCCGCGGUAAUACGUAGGGUGCAAGCGUUAAUCGGAAUUACUGGGCGUAAAGCGUGCGCAGGCGGUUUGCUAAGACCGAUGUGAAAUCCCCGGGCUCAACCUGGGAACUGCAUUGGUGACUGGCAGGCUAGAGUAUGGCAGAGGGGGGUAGAAUUCCACGUGUAGCAGUGAAAUGCGUAGAGAUGUGGAGGAAUACCGAUGGCGAAGGCAGCCCCCCUGGGCCAAUACUGACGCUCAUGCACGAAAGCGUGGGGAGCAAACAGGAUUAGAUACCCUGGUAGUCCACGCCCUAAACGAUGUCAACUAGUUGUUGGGGAUUCAUUUCCUUAGUAACGUAGCUAACGCGUGAAGUUGACCGCCUGGGGGAGUACGGUCGCAAGAUUAAAACUCAAAUGAAUUGACGGGGUCAUAGCUGUUUCCU